rnacentral:rRNA from 1 species
AGAGUUUGAUCCUGGCUCAGGACGAACGCUGGCGGCGUGCCUCAAUACAUGCAAGUCGAACGCUUUUUCUUUCACCGGAGCUUGCUCCACCGAAAGAAAAAGAGUGGCGAACGGGUGAGUAACACGUGGGUAACCUGCCCAUCAGAAGGGGAUAACACUUGGAAACAGGUGCUAAUACCGUAUAACACUAUUUUCCGCAUGGAAGAAAGUUGAAAGGCGCUUUUGCGUCACUGAUGGAUGGACCCGCGGUGCAUUAGCUAGUUGGUGAGGUAACGGCUCACCAAGGCCACGAUGCAUAGCCGACCUGAGAGGGUGAUCGGCCACACUGGGACUGAGACACGGCCCAGACUCCUACGGGAGGCAGCAGUAGGGAAUCUUCGGCAAUGGACGAAAGUCUGACCGAGCAACGCCGCGUGAGUGAAGAAGGUUUUCGGAUCGUAAAACUCUGUUGUUAGAGAAGAACAAGGAUGAGAGUAGAACGUUCAUCCCUUGACGGUAUCUAACCAGAAAGCCACGGCUAACUACGUGCCAGCAGCCGCGGUAAUACGUAGGUGGCAAGCGUUGUCCGGAUUUAUUGGGCGUAAAGCGAGCGCAGGCGGUUUCUUAAGUCUGAUGUGAAAGCCCCCGGCUCAACCGGGGAGGGUCAUUGGAAACUGGGAGACUUGAGUGCAGAAGAGGAGAGUGGAAUUCCAUGUGUAGCGGUGAAAUGCGUAGAUAUAUGGAGGAACACCAGUGGCGAAGGCGGCUCUCUGGUCUGUAACUGACGCUGAGGCUCGAAAGCGUGGGGAGCGAACAGGAUUAGAUACCCUGGUAGUCCACGCCGUAAACGAUGAGUGCUAAGUGUUGGAGGGUUUCCGC